AUGAACGCUGACGACCUCAAGAAGCUUGAAGAGGAGCUCAAGCAACGCGAGUCCAUCAUCAGAACUCGCGAGGAAGAACUCCGGUGUCUUGCCGAGGAGCGCGGCAAGAUAGUUCUCGCAUCCACCCCUGCACCUGUUCCUGCACCGUCCUCCUAUGCUGCUUCAAUCAAGACAUAUGUUCCCAUCACUCUUGAUCUUCAGGAUUCCAACUACGCCAAAUGGCGUGAGCUUUUUCUCGUGGUCCUUGGGCGCUACGGCCUCUCCAGCCACGUCGGCGGCGGCGGCGCCGCCGACGCCACCCCCUCCGACACAUUGGGAGGGGGGUCUGGUGGGCGUGGGGGUGAGGUGAUGUUGCCUGGUGAUUUCCUCGCCGUAUCCCUGGUAAUUUCCAGCGCUCCCCUGAUGGAUCUGCUCUUGUUUGAUCCAGAUCUAGAGGAGGGAAUGCGAGGCCUGGCCAAAUGGGCCGGCCCGGCCUGGGUUAAACGGGCCCGAACCCCUCUUGCCCUCUCUCCUAUAAAAGCUGUGCUUUUACCCCCGCACUCCAUCGCCUCGCCGCCGUUCCCCGCAACACCCUGUCGACCCAAUCUCACAUCCUCCUCUCGCCCGCCCGAGGUCUCGGAUCCAGCCAGCGUGGUCUCCCUCCGCGUGCAUCCGGAGUUUCUCGUUCCGAUUGUGGUUGGUAGGCGCGGCGCGGCGCGGGUUCAUAGGUGUCGGAUCCAGCGCCGUCUGUAUCCUAUUCCACUUAACCUGCAGCUGCUGAUUAAUGUUGUAUUCAUAUGUGCUGCUUUCCAGCUCUCUUGUUUCGAUAGUCUUCUUCGCCGCCAAAAGGAAAUGAUGCUCUACAAAAUCCGCUCCCAUGCCCAAAUCCAAGACCUGCAGGCCCGCUCCGAUGAGCUGGGCCUCUCCAAUAAGUCCAUGCUUGUGAGUCUUGUCUCUCUGGAGUCGGUGCGCAUAGCGUGGGAGUCGUAUGCGCUCCUCCGCCCGCUGAUCAAGGAGUCGUGGAUUUGGGUAUGCCCGCAGCUGGAAAUCCUCUCGGACGUGGCAGGCUUGUCGCUGGAAAUCCAAAAGCUCGAGCAUGAUGUGUUACCCCAGCUCAAGCUUCAGGAGGCUAAGCUGGAAAGGGGCGCCCUGGAAGCCCUCCUACUCAUGAAGAACUCAGCUGUUGCGCUCUUACAUUUGAGGAAGUGCUUUAAGGAAGACUUGGGCGUAUUGCUUGCCAAGGAGGAUCUGGUCUCAGCCAAAGUCAAAAGGCUGAGCAAAAUGCUAAAGUAUAUUGCUGUCCGGUUGCUUCAGGAGCGUGAAUGCAACAUUGUCGGGCUUCAGGAGCGUGUCCGGUUGCUGGUCCAGCUGGUCACCGAGGUGUUGAACACCCCGGUUCAUUUCGAUGAUUCUGAUGAGUCUUCUGAUGAGUCUUCUGAUGAGUAG
rnacentral:rRNA from 1 species